rnacentral:rRNA from 1 species
GUGCAGCAGUCGAGAAUUUUUCUCAAUGGGGGCAACCCUGAAGGAGCGACGCCGCGUGGAGGAUGAAGGCUUUCGGGUCGUAAACUCCUGUCAUUUGAGAACAAGUGCCAACAAGUAACUACUGUUGGCUUGAUAGUAUCAGAAGAGGAAGGGACGGCUAACUCUGUGCCAGCAGCCGCGGUAAUACAGAGGUCCCAAGCGUUGUUCGGAUUCAUUGGGCGUAAAGGGUGCGUAGGUGGCGCCGUCAGUGGGGUGUGAAAUUCCGGAGCUUAACUCCGAAACUGCAUUCCAUACUGCGGUGCUUGAGGACUGGAGAGGAGACUGGAAUUCAUGGUGUAGCAGUGAAAUGCGUAGAGAUCAUGAGGAAGACCAGUGGCGAAGGCGGGUCUCUGGACAGUUCCUGACACUGAGGCACGAAGGCUAGGGGAGCGAAC